rnacentral:lncRNA from 1 species
UCUGCCUUGUUUUUUUCCAGACCAGAGGGCCCUGGAUUUAGCCUAUUUGUGCUGUGUCCUCAACCUCCACUUAGAAUUUGGAAGAUGGCAGGCUCUAGAAGAAGCAAUAACUAAUCACCAAAGCCCCUUCUGAGGCUAAAGUGAUUCAAGUUUCAUCAGGACAUUGGCUUCUGUUUGCUCAGUAGAUUCCACUUGCAAGACUUGAAUGAUGGAUACAUUAUUUGAUCUUCAUGGAAAAGCUCCAAAUAAUUUGUAACUGUGAAGGGGCACGAAAGCAGGGUGGUGGUAUAAAUGAUAUGUGUUAGUUUGUGUGAGAAGUUUUGAGUCAUUAUCUGUUGCAUCCUGGUUAGCGUUUGUCCCUGACCUUUUCUGUUACGUGAAGAAUUAUGGUCAAUAUUUAUUUUUAAAUAAUCUGGAAUAGACUUGGAAUACCUUCAUAUUGUACUUUCACUUCUCUCAUGGUCUUGGCCAAUAAUCAGUGACAGACAUGUUGAAUAAAACGAAUUCUCACUUUAACAAGUGGUUAAAUCUGAAAAGGAAGAGAGAUGACCCAUUUUUCUUUCCCUAAUUCUUUCCAGAUGUAUCAGCAUCUCUCUUUCAAGGAUAGCAUUGCACGGUGCUUUCAGGCAGGAGUGGUUACUGUAUACUAACUUCCUCUGGAUGCAGUGGUAAGAGAAAGCUCCACCCCUGCCAGACAUUUGAUGGCCAGCCAGUUGUGCCAUGGCCCCACAGGGCCGUCAGCAGGAUGCUUCCAGGGCAGGCUUCCAGAAGGAGUUUAGUUGAAGUGGUUCCAUUAAUGGUUUUAUUUCUAUUUUCUCUCUCUCUCUCUCACCUAGUUCAAGGAAUUUAAGUAAAGAUUUUGAAAGUUCAUUCUGGCAAAAGUGAACUAUAUUUUUGGAAAUAACUUUUUAAAAUUUGGUUGCAUUUUUUUUUUCCAAAAUCAGUUGGGAUUUUUUAAAAAGAUCUUUCAAAGUGUUCAAAGAUGGCACAUCAGGAAAACUUCAGCAGUUACAGUCUUUAGGGAUCUGGAAUUAUUAACAGCAAAGCUUGCAGACAGGAAGAUACUCAAAUUUACUUGUAUUCAUUAUGCAUGAAAAAUAAUGAUAGCUCAAGUGAUGUGUAAGAUUUCUGUUUGAAACUCUGUAACUAUGCUAUGGAAGAACUCAACUUGUGAGAAGAAUCUGUUGAUAGAUUUUUAACUGGACAAAGUUGUAUUCUGUAUUCUAAAAUAAAACAAGAUUAAGCAGAUCCAUGAUUGUAUAGCAUAUAAAUUUGGCAAAGCAUUAAAACUUUCAUAAAUAAAAUUGAGUAUUUUGGGGAAGGAUUGCUUGUAAAAAUAUUUUCUUGAGAAAAGUACUCUGAAGAGAAGCAAAAUAGCAGUAAGUAUGAAAAUAUUUAGGCUGAAAUAUUUAUAUAUUUCAAUAAAAAGGAAGCAUUGAUAGUGCCUUUGCUA